rnacentral:misc_RNA from 1 species
GAUGAAGAACGUAGCGAAAUGCGAUAAGUAAUGCGAAUUGCAGAAUUCAGUGAGUCAUCGAAUCUUUGAACGCACAUUGCGCCCUGUGGUAUUCCGCAGGGCAUGCCUGUUCGAGCGUCUUUUCAACCCUCAAGCUCUGCUUGGUGUUGGGCCCUGCCCGCUGCGGCCGGCCCUAAAGACAGUGGCGGUGCCGCCUGGCCCUGAGCGUAGUACAUCUCUCGCUCCAGUGCCCGGUGGUAGCCUGCCAGAACCCCAACUCUCGUGGUUGACCUCGGAUCAGGUAGGGAUACCCGCUGAACUUAAGCAUAUCAUAAGCAGAGGA